rnacentral:lncRNA from 1 species
UUUUAUGUCUGUUUGUGAAAAUUAUUGAUCCGUUUAAAUGUUCAGAUCAAAGAAAAUACAAAAAAAAUCAUUUUUCCAUUGAAUUUAGAUCAAAGACGAAGAGAAAAAUCAAAGAAAAUACAAAAAAAAUAGAUAGAGCAUAUAACCUGAAAAUAGCUGCCGAUAAAGUGAAGAAGCACUUGCCGAAACAGUUGGGCCAGAGAUCUGAGACGGUGGAGUCAGCGAAAGAUGCCAAGAUGAAAGUGAAACGGGAGCGGGUGGAGGUGACUUUGCUCGCAGCUUUUGUUUGAUGUUGGGAGGGAGCGGGUAGAGGUAGCUUUUGGGUUGGGAGGUUAAAACAGGGCAUAGAAAUCGAGAGCUGUAAAACGGAAGCUAAACUGAGCUUUUGGAAGAGAAUAGAAAGCAGCCAAUUUUGG